AUUGAACGCUGGCGGCAUGCCUAACACAUGCAAGUCGAGCGAGCGGCGGACGGGUGAGUAAUGUCUGGGAAACUGCCUGAUGGUGUGGGAUUACUACUGGAAACGGUAGCUAAUACCGCAUACCAUCAGAUGUGCCCAGAUGGGAUUAGCUGGUAGGUAGGGUAACGUCUCACCUAGGCCACGAUCCGUGGCUGGUUUGAGAGGACGCCCAGCCACACUGGGACUGAGACACGGCCCAAACUGUGACGGGUGGCAGCAGUGGGGAAUAUUCGACAAGGGGCGAAAGCCUGAUCCAGCCAUGGCGCGUGGGUGAUGAAGGCCGUAGGGUUGUAAAGCUCUUUUACCAGAGAAGCGGUAUCCGGAGAAGAAGCCCCGGCUAACUUCGUGCCAGCAGCCGCGGUAAUAC
rnacentral:rRNA from 1 species